AUUGAACGCUGGCGGCAGGCCUAACACAUGCAAGUCGAGCGAGGGGCGGGCGGGUGAGGAAUGGAUGUGGAUCUGCCCGAUAGGGGGGAAUAACUACGAGAGACGGUGGCUAAUAACGCAUACUGUCGGAUGAACCCAUAUGGUAUUAGCUAGUUGGUAAGGUAAUGGCUUACCUAGGCGACGAUCCCUAGCUGGUCUGAGAGGAUGAUCAGCCACACUGGGACUGAGACACGGCCCAGACUCCUACGGGAGGCAGCAGUGGGGAAUAUUGGACAAUGGGCGAAAGCCUGAUGCGGCCAUGCCGCGUGUAUGAAGAAGGCCUUCGGGUUGUAAAGUACUUUCAGUCGGGAGGCGUUACCGACAGAAUAAGCACCGGCUAACUCCGUGCCAGCAGCCGCGGUAAUUC
rnacentral:rRNA from 1 species